UACGUAGGGGGCUAGCGUUGUCCGGAAUCAUUGGGCGUAAAGCGCGCGUAGGUGGCUAGAUAAGUCCGGUGUGAAAUCCUUCGGCUUAACCGGGGAAUGGCAUCGGGGACUGUUUAGCUAGAGGACGGGAGAGGAGAGCGGAAUUCCCGGUGUAGCGGUGAAAUGCGUAGAGAUCGGGAGGAAGGCCGGUGGCGAAGGCGGCUCUCUGGAACGUCCCUGACGCUGAGGCGCGAAAGCGUGGGGAGCAAACAGG
rnacentral:rRNA from 1 species